rnacentral:rRNA from 1 species
GUGCCAGCCGCCGCGGUAAGACAGAGGGUGCGAACGUUGCUCGGAAUUACUGGGCGUAAAGCGCGCGUAGGCGGGCCGAUAAGUCGGUUGUGAAAUCCCUGAGCUCAACUCAGGAACUGCAUCCGAAACUGUCGGUCUAGAGUAGUGGAGAGGGAUGGCGGAAUUCCGGGUGUAGAGGUGAAAUUCGUAGAUAUCCGGAGGAACACCGGUGGCGAAGGCGGCCUCCUGGACACUUACUGACGCUGAGGCGCGAAAGCGUGGGGAGCAAACAGGAUUAGAAACCCCCGUAGUCC